GAUGAACGCUGGCGGCGUGCUUAACACAUGCAAGUCGAGCGAGUGAAUUCUUCGGAACGAUCUAGCGGCGGACGGGUGAGUAACACGUGGGAACCUUCCUAGGGGUACGGAACAACUCAGGGAAACUUGAGCUAAUACCGUAUACGUCCGUGAGGAGUAAGAUUUAUCGCCCUUAGACGGGCCCGCGUCGGAUUAGCUAGUUGGUGGGGUAACGGCUCACCAAGGCGACGAUGCGUAGCCGACCUGAGAGGGUGACCGGCCACAUUGGGACUGAGACACGGCCCAGACUCCUACGGGAGGCAGCAGUGGGGAAUAUUGCACAAUGGGGGAAACCCUGAUGCAGCAACGCCGCGUGAGUGAUGACGGCCUUCGGGUUGUAAAGCUCUGUCUUUGGGGACGAUAAUGACGGUACCCAAGGAGGAAGUCACGGCUAACUACGUGCCAGCCGCCGCCGUAA
rnacentral:rRNA from 1 species